CGUAUAUUAAAGUUGUUGCAGUUAAAAAGCUCGUAGUUGGAUUUGGGACUGGAGUCGUCGGGUCGGCCGCGAGGUCUGUUACUUGGCGGCCCUGUCAUUACAAUUCCCAGAGACCUGUCGUGUGCUUCACUGUACGCGGCAAGGGAUUUGGGACGUUUACUUUGAAAAAAUUAGAGUGUUCAAAGCAGGCUUUCACAGCCCGAAUACAUGAGCAUGGAAUAAUGGAAUAGGACCGCGGUUCUAUUUUGUUGGUUUCUACGACCGCAGUAAUGAUUAAGAGGGACAAUUGGGGGCAUCCGUAUUUCGUUGUCAGAGGUGAAAUUCUUGGAUUUACGAAAGACGAACAACUGCGAAAGCAUUUGCCAAGAGUGUUUUCAUUAAUCAAGAACGAAAGUUAGAGGAUCGAAGACGAUCAGAUACCGUCCUAGUUCUAACCAUAAACGAUGUCGACUAGGGAUUGGCGGGCGUUAACUUAACACGACCCCGUCAGCACCUCACGGGAAACCAAAGUUUUUGGAUUCCGGGGGAAGUAUGGU
rnacentral:rRNA from 1 species